rnacentral:rRNA from 1 species
UACGAAGGGGGCUAGCGUUGUUCGGAUUUACUGGGCGUAAAGCGCACGUAGGCGGAUCGUUAAGUCGGGGGUGAAAUCCUGGAGCUCAACUCCAGAACUGCCUUCGAUACUGGAAGACUUGAGUCCGGGAGAGGUGAGUGGAACUGCGAGUGUAGAGGUGAAAUUCGUAGAUAUUCGCAAGAACACCAGUGGCGAAGGCGGCU